rnacentral:rRNA from 1 species
AUUGAACGCUGGCGGCAGGCCUAACACAUGCCAGUCGAGCGAGCGGCGGACGGGUGAGUAAUGUCUGGGGAACUGCCUGAUAGAGGGGGAUAACUACUGUAAACGGUAGCUAAUACCGCAUACCAUCGGAUGAACCCAUAUGGGAUUAGCUAGUAGGUUGGUUAACGGCUCACCUAGGCGACUAUACCUAGCUGGUCUGAGAGGAUGACCAGCCAGCCGGGAACUGAGACACGGUCCAGCAUCCUACGGGAGGAAGCAGUGGGGAAUAUGGCACAAUGGGCGCAAGCCGGAUGCAGCCAUGCCGCGUGUGUGAAGAAGGCCUUCGGGUUGUAAAGUACUUUCAGCGGGGAGGCGUUACCCGCAGAAGAAGCACCGGCUAACUCCGUGCCAGCAGCCGCGGUAAUAC